rnacentral:rRNA from 1 species
UACGGAGGGUGCGAGCGUUAAUCGGAAUUACUGGGCGUAAAGCGCGCGUAGGCGGUUUGUUAAGUCUUUUGUGAAAGCCCCGGGCUUAACCUGGGAACGGCACGGGAUACUGGCAGGCUAGAGUGUGGUAGAGGGUAGCGGAAUUUCCGGUGUAGCAGUGAAAUGCGUAGAGAUCGGAAGGAACACCUGUGGCGAAGGCGGCUAUCUGGACCAACACUGACGCUGAGGUGCGAAAGCGUGGGGAG